rnacentral:rRNA from 1 species
AUAACGGUCCUAAGGUAGCGAAAUUCCUUGUCAGGUAAGUUCUGACCCGCACGAAUGGCGUAAUGAUCUGGGAGCUGUCUCAACUGCCCGCCCGGCGAAAUUGUAGUACCGGUGAAGAUGCCGGUUACCCGCGACUAGACGGAAAGACCCCAUGGAGCUUUACUGUAGCUUAAUAUUGGAUUUCGGCAUUUCAUGUACAGGAUAGGUGGGAGACUAGGAAACAUAGGCGUCAGCUUAUGCGGAGUCGUCCUUGGGAUACCACUCUUGGAGUGCUGAAAUUCUAACCUGCAGCCCUGAAUCGGGUUGGGGGACAUUGUUAGGUGGGCAGUUUGACUGGGGCGGUCGCCUCCAAAAAGGUAACGGAGGCGCUCAAAGGUUGGCUCAGCAUGGAUGGAAACCAUGCCAUAGAGUGCAAACGCAAAAGCCAGCCUGACUGCGAGACUGACGGGUCGAGCAGAAACGAAAGUUGGAGUUAGUGAUCCGGCGGUAUGUGAAUGGAAAUGCCGUCGCUCAACGGAUAAAAGCUACCCUGGGGAUAACAGGCUGAUCUCCCCCAAGCGUCCACAGCGACGGGGAGGUUUGGCACCUCGAUGUCGGCUCGUCACAUCCUGGGGCUGAAUUCGGUCCCAAGGGUUCGGCUGUUCGCCGAUUAAAGUGGCACGCGAGCUGGGUUCAGAACGUCGUGAGACAGUUCGGUCCCUAUCUGUCGUGGGCGAAGGAUAUUUGAAAGGAGCUGUCCCUAGUACGAGAGGACCGGGAUGGACGCACCUCUGGUGCACCAGUUGUCACGCCAGUGGCACAGCUGGGCAGCUAAGUGCGGAUCGGAUAAACGCUGAAAGCAUCUAAGCGUGAAGCCGUCCUUAAGAUAAGAUAUCCCACUUUUAAGUUAAGACCCCUUGUAGACUACGAGGUUGAUAGGUCUAAGGUGUAAGUUGUGUGAGCAAUUUAGCCAGCAGAUACUAAUCGGUCGAGGGCUUAAACCU